UACAGAGGGUGCGAGCGUUAAUCGGAAUUACUGGGCGUAAAGCGUGCGUAGACGGUAGCGUAAGUCGGGUGUGAAAGCCCCGGGCUCAACCUGGGAAUUGCAUUCGAGACUGCUCUGCUAGGGUGCGGAAGAGGGAAGCGGAAUUUCCGGUGUAGCGGUGAAAUGCGUAGAUAUCGGAAGGAACACCAGUGGCGAAAGCGGCUUCCUGGACCAGUACCGACGUCAGGCACGAAAGCGGUGGGG
rnacentral:rRNA from 1 species